AGGCCAAGACACAUGUUGAAAAUUUUAGUUAAAUUUUGCGACUUCCUAGGUACAUUAUAUAUUUGUUUUUACUAAUGGAAAAAACACACAAAUAGAGAUAACAUCCUAAUAAGUGCAAAUAGUAGAAUAGAUCAAAUCAAAUCAAAAAAAAAAAUAAAAAUCAAGAAAUCAUCUACUAUAUAUGAAGAAGAUGUUGGGAUGUGGUAGAAUAAAUUGUAUGGUUAUGAUUAUAAUUUUAUGGCUUUUGAUGUCAAAAAUAGUGAAAAUGGAGGAUGAAGUUGUACCAACAAGAGAUGUCUAUGGUUGUUGGGGAGGAUGUUACAAUAAUUGUUUUCUUCUUCAAAAAAAUAGUGAUGAUGAUAAAACUUAUCAAUGCUAUUACAAUUGUUUGAACAAUUGCACUCCUAUUAGUACUCCUACUUCUUCUACAACAUCAUCCCCUUUAAAUUAUGGGAGUUUAUGCCAAGGUGGUUGUUUCUUGAUGAUUUGCAUCCCACUUAGCUUUGGUGGUGCAAAUAUUGGAAAUUGCUUGGCAAAUUGUGGAAACCUCUGCAAAUUUUUCAACACAUUCACAAAUAUGAAGCUAAAAGAUUAAGUAGUCAAUUUGCUUUAUGUGUACUCUUAAGAACUUCCUUCAAACUUACUAAGUGAAAUUACCAGCUUACCCUUCAUGUAUCUCACGAAUUACUUGUUUGUUUCUUUUGUAUUAUAAAAGAUCAAUAUUCUCUUUUUAAUUGUUCAAGGUUAAA